ACAUUUUCUUUAUCCAUUUGUCCAUUGACGGACAUGACACUCAGGUUGUUUCUAUAUCUUGGCUAUUGUAAAUAACGCUGCCAUAAAUGGGGGUGCACAUACCUUUUCGAGUUAACGUUUUAGUUUCCUUUGGAUAAACACACAGAAGCGGAAUUGCUGGAUCCUAUGGUAGGUCUAUAUUUAAUUUAUUGAGGAAACUUUGUACUGUUUUCCAUAGUGGUUGUACCAAUUCCAUUCUACAGUUUUGCCCAGCUCUGUUGCACUGCAGUUUUACUUUUGAUUUUAGUUGGCCAGUGAGGAAUGAGGCUGCACUCUAGGUAUCAACCUCAAAGUGUUAUCCGCUGCUGUGCUGGGCCCCCAACAUGACACAUUGCCUUCCUCUCUCUACAGAACUCAUUAUUGGUCCAGCCAACAUUUACUGGGCACUUGGCCCUCUGUGUGAGCUGGGGAUCUGGAAGAGCAAGACAAGUUCCCUGCUGAUAAAAUCUCACUGCGUUGUGAGGAAACCCACCACGUUUAAAAAUACAGGUCUCCAUUGGUGAAUGUAAUGAUGAGGCACAGAGAGGUUAGGCAACUUGCCCAAGAUCACACGGCUAGGAAGGAGAAGAUCAGGGAAUUCCAAUCCAGGCGACCGUUUCAGGUUUGAAGUGGGAAGUCAGUGGUGCCUCCCUUCCGAGUGCAAGGGUUCAUUACAGGUGUGUGCUGGAGCUGGUUCCUGCGGACCUGUGAGAGCUGAUCGUGUGCAUCUCUUCCCAGCUCUGCUCAGUGACAUCACAUUGGCAGCUUGAAAUUAGCCACGGUGGGAGAAUUUACUCCAUGGGAAUUGGCAAACCUUAUACAUCAAGGCUCCUUCCACCCACACAUCCCUCCCCCAAAUGAGUGAAUCUCCCCGUGCCUUGGGAAUCAUAAGAGUACUUCGCCUCUAGAUUACUCUGAAGAUAUAGUGAGAUGAAGCAAGUAAAGCACAAGGCAUUGCUUGUAUGUUUUUUUAAAUAAAUGAUACAUACUGAGAGUUGAAAACAAACAAACAAAUGUUACGAAAGUUUCCUUGUCAACCUGGACUUCCAUUCCAAUUCCUCUCCCAAAAGGCAACCUGUUUCUCCAAAUCCUUCCAGAGAUAUGUAAGCAUAUAUAAACGGUACACGUGCGUGUGUGUGUGUGUGUGUGUGUGAUCUUC